rnacentral:tRNA from 2 species
AAGCUCUGAGGUGAAAUUUCACAUUGAAUUGCAAAUUCAAAGAAGCAGCUUCAAUUCUGCCGGGGCUU